rnacentral:rRNA from 1 species
CCUACGGGAGGCAGCAGUGGGGAAUAUUGCGCAAUGGGGGGAAACCCUGACGCAGCAACGCCGCGUGAGUGAGGAAGGACUUCGGUCUGUAAAGCUCUGUUAAUGAGGAAAAAUGGUAGUUGGUCUAAUAGGCUGAUUAUUUGAUGGUACUCAUAGAGGAAGCACCGGCUAACUUCGUGCCAGCAGCCGCGGUAAUACGAAGGGUGCAAGCGUUGUUCGGAUUUAUUGGGCGUAAAGCGCGCGUAGGCGGACCCGCAAGUCAGAUGUGAAAUCUCGAGGCUCAACCUCGAAACUGCGUCUGAAACUACUGGUCUAGAAUCUCGGAGGGGGAAGGGGAAUAUCGCAUGUAGGGGUAAAAUCCGUAGAUAUGCGAUGGAACACCAGAGGCGAAGGCGCCUUCCUGGACGAGUAUUGACGCUGAGGCGCGAAAGCGUGGGGAUCGAACAGGAUUAGAUACCCUGGUAGUCCACGCUGUAAACGAUGAACACUAGAUAUUGGAGGAUUUGACCCCUUCAGUGUCGCAGCUAACGCGUUAAGUGUUCCGCCUGGGGAAGUACGGUCGCAAGACUAAAACUCAAAAUGAAAUUGACGG